rnacentral:rRNA from 1 species
GCCUAACCAAAUACACAAUUAAAUUACCAAUUGUCCGCCAAACAACUACGAGUCCCACUUAAAACUUAAAAGACUUGACGGUACUUCACCACGACCUAGAGGAGCCUGUCUGAUAACCGACAAUCCACGAUUAACCCCACCCUUUCUCGCCCAACAGUCUAUAUACCGCCGUCGCCAGCUUACCUUGUAAAAGAAAUAAAGUGAGCCAAACAGUACUGCACUAAAACGACAGGUCGAGGUGUAACCCAUGAAAGGGGUUAAGAUGGGCUACAUUCUCCAGCCGAGAAUACGAAUAGCACUAUGAAACUAGUGCCUGAAGACGGAUUUAGCAGUAAGAUAGGAAUAAAACACCUAACUGAACACAACGCAAUGAAGUGCGUACACACCGCCCGUCAUCCCUGCCACACAACAUUAAAUCUUAAUAAACCAACAAAAAAGCCAAACAGGGCAAGUCGUAACAUGGUAAGUGUACUGGAAAGUGUACUUAGAAACAA